AGCGUGUUGAAUAACCCUUUCGGCGAUCAGCAGGCUCAUAACCUGAAGGUCACAGGUUCAAAUCCUGUCCCCGCAACCA
rnacentral:tRNA from 1 species